rnacentral:rRNA from 1 species
UACGGGGGGGGCAAGCGUUGUUCGGAAUUACUGGGCGUAAAGGGCUCGUAGGUGGCCAACUAAGUCAGACGUGAAAUCCCUCAGCUUAACUGGGGAACUGCGUCUGAUACUGGAUGGCUUGAGUUUGGGAGAGGGAUGCGGAAUUCCAGGUGUAGCGGUGAAAUGCGUAGAUAUCUGGAGGAACACCGGUGGCGAAGGCGGCAUCCUGGACCAACACUGACACUGAGGAGCGAAAGCCAGGGGAGCAAACGGG